UGCACAGCACCCACCCGCCGUCCUCGGAGUCCGCUCUCCAGCCGAGGUGGCCGAGAGCUGGGCCCAGCACCUUCUUCCCCAGUCUGCUGUGAUCACGGAGAAGUUCCGAUGGUGACGAGGACGCCGCCCACGGACGAGUCCCAGCCGCUGGAUCAUGCGAUGCGGCUGUGACCACGCUCCCGUGGAGGAGUGUGGUGAGCGACUGUGUGGCCAGAACGCCACUGCGUUCUGUGCUCGUCUUACCGCUCUAGCGUCAUCCAUGCUUUGUCUUCUGCUUUUGUCGCUUCUUAAUGCUCAUUGGAGAAAUUUUUUUUUCAUUGCUUUUAGGGAGAGAAAAGCAUCGCCAGCGUGUGCUCGGACCUGGGGAUCCAACGCAACCCAGGUACGUGCCUGGGCCAGGAAUCGAACCUGCAGCCUUUCAGUGUAUGGGAUGACGCCCCAAGCACUGAGCCACAGCUGCCAGGGCUGCUUUUUGUCUUCUGGACGGUCUGGAACAGGAAGCAGCCUUACUCGGAAGCUAACGCAUUUAUUUCUUUUGCAGAUGAUAGAAGCAUUGAGUGCGUGCCUGAAGAAGAAUCGACCGUCCUUCCCUUGAACGUGCAGGAAUGUCCCGGGCCCAGCAGGAGGCAGGCCUGCCGGAGUGUGGUUGGUAGGCUAAUGAAAUGGGUGUGAUAACCUAGAGCUUUCGUGUGAACAUUUCACCGAAAGUGUCAUCGGUGCGCUUGAGUGUGAUGGUGUGAUGUCACGGAAUUGUAUGCUUAUGAUUUUACAAUAAAGGGUUUUGCAAUAAAAGGGUAUUGUUUGUGCUGGACCCCGUAUUCGGGAUCGACCAUUAAUAAAAUUCCACAUUCAGUGUUAAGAAA